UACGAAGGGUGCAAGCGUUUGUCCGGAAUUAUUGGGCGUAAAGAGCUCGUAGGCGGUUUGUCGCGUCUGCUGUGAAAACUCGGGGCUUAACCCCGGGCCUGCAGUGGGUACGGGCAGACUAGAGUGCGGUAGGGGAGAACGGAAUUCCUGGUGUAGCGGUGGAAUGCGCAGAUAUCAGGAGGAACACCGGUGGCGAAGGCGGUUCUCUGGGCAUUACCUGACGCUGAGGAGCGAAAGCAUGGGGAGCGAACAGGG
rnacentral:rRNA from 1 species